rnacentral:miRNA from 1 species
UGCAUGCCUUGGGGAGUGGUAG